GGGCAGUUAGCUCAGCGGUAGAGCAUCGCCUUCACACGGCGGAGGUCACAGGUUCAAACCCUGUACUGCCCACCA
rnacentral:tRNA from 1 species